rnacentral:rRNA from 1 species
GACGAACGCUGGCGGCGUGCCUAACACAUGCAAGUCGAACGGAACUAAGUUUUCGGAUUUAGUUUAGUGGCGAACGGGUGAGUAACGCGUGAGCAAUCUGCCUUUCAGAGGGGGAUAACGUUCUGAAAAGAACGCUAAUACCGCAUAACGUAUUUUGACGGCAUCGUCGAAAUACCAAAGGAGCAAUCCGCUGAAAGAUGAGCUCGCGUCUGAUUAGAUAGUUGGUGGGGUAACGGCCUACCAAGUCGACGAUCAGUAGCCGAACUGAGAGGUUGAUCGGCCACAUUGGGACUGAGACACGGCCCAGACUCCUACGGGAGGCAGCAGUGGGGAAUAUUGCGCAAUGGGGGCAACCCUGACGCAGCAACGCCGCGUGAAGGAUGAAGGUCUUCGGAUUGUAAACUUUUGUCUUUAGGGACGAAAAAGGACGGUACCUAAGGAGGAAGCCACGGCUAACUACGUG